rfam:Ictidomys tridecemlineatus contig034748, whole genome shotgun sequence.
GGGGUUGUAGCUCAGUGGUAGAGCACUUAUCUCGCACAUGUGAGGCCCUGGGUUCGAUCCCCAGGACCACA